AUUUAAAUGAUUAUUAAUUUAUUAAAUUUUAUAUUUAUUAAAAUAAGAAAAUUAUUAUUUUAUUAUUAAAUUAGAAUAAAUUAAAUUUAUUAUAGUUAAUUAGUAUUGUGAAAGAAUUUUUUAAAAUAUAAAAAAGAAUAAUUAAUUUUUUGUACCUUGUGUAUCAGGGUUUAUUAAAAAAAUAUUUGAAUAAAUUAUUCUCGAAUUUAAAAGAGCUAAUAAAAUAUAUUUUUAAUGUAAAAUAAUUAUUAUAAAUAUUUUUUUAGAAAUGAAAUGUUAAUCGUUUUUAAAUAUAUCUAGUUUUUAAAGAAAAAAAUUUAAUUUUUUUAUUAUAAAUAUUUAAUUAAUUUUAUUUAAUUUAAUAUUAGUAAUAUUUAAUAUUUUUAGGGAUGAGCUUAAAAAUAAAUAUUUAAAAUUUUAUAAAUUUGUUAAAAUAUAUAGAUUUAGAAGUUUUCAUUAUUAAAAAAAUGUUAUAAUUAAUUUUGAUUGAAAUAUAAUUUUUAUUUUAAUUUAAAUAUUUUAUUUAAAUAUAAUUUAUAAUUUUUAAAAAAUAGUAAUUAUGAUAAAAUUAGUAUUAAUUAAUUUAAAUGUAAUUUUUAUACUAAGGUUAAAUAAAGUAAUUCGGCAAAAAUUUUUUCACCUGUUUAUUAAAAACAUGGCCUUUUGAGUAUAAUUUAAGGUCUAGCCUGCCCACUGAAAAUUUAAAUGGCCGCGGUAAUUUGACCGUGCAAAGGUAGCAUAAUCAUUAGUUUUUUAAUUGAAAGCUGGAAUGAAUGGUUGGAUGAGAAAAAAACUGUCUCUAUUUAAUUUUUUUAAAAAAUUUAUUUUUAAGUAAAAAAGCUUAAAUUUAUUUAGAAGACGAGAAGACCCUAUAGAGUUUUAUAUAAUUAAUUAUUAAUAUUUUUAGUAUUAUAAAUUUUAAUUUUUAUUUAUAUUUAAUUGGGGUGAUUGAAAAAUUUAAUUAACUUUUUUUAUAUAAGUACAUUAAUGAAUGAUUUUUUGAUCCAUUUUUUAUGAUUAUAAGAUAAAAUUACCUUAGGGAUAACAGCGUAAUUUUUUUUGAGAGUUCAAAUCGAUAAAAAAGAUUGCGACCUCGAUGUUGGAUUAAAAUUAAUUCUUGGUGUAGAAGUUAAGAAUUUUAGGUCUGUUCGACCUUUAAAAUUUUACAUGAUCUGAGUUUAGACCGGCGUGAGCCAGGUUGGUUUCUAUCUUUAGAAAAUUUAAAUAUUUUAGUACGAAAGGACCAAGUAUUAAGUAAAUUAUUUAAUAGUUGAAUAUUAUUAAU
rnacentral:rRNA from 1 species